CCUACGGGAGGCAGCAGUGGAGAAUAUUGCGCAAUGGGCGAAAGCCUGACGCAGCGACGCCGCGUGAGGGAUGACGGUCUUCGGAUCGUAAACCUCUGUCAGCAGGGAAGAACGGUCACUGUGCUAAUCAGCAGUGAAUUGCCGUUACCUGCAAAGUAAGCACCGGCUAACCCCGUGCCAGCAGCCGCGGUAAUACGGAGGGUGCGAGCGUUAAUCGGAUUUACUGGGCGUAAAGCGCUCGUAGGCGGUAUGUCAAGUCAAGGGUGAAAUCCCCGCGCUCAACGUGGGAACUGCCUUUGAAACUGGCAGACUGGAGUGUGUGAGAGGAUAGUGGAAUUCGAGGUGUAGGAGUGAAAUCCGUAGAUAUCUGGAGGAACAUCAGUGGCGAAGGCGACUAUCUGGCACAUAACUGACACUGAGGAGCGAAAGCGUGGGUAGCAAACAGGAUUAGAUACCCGAGUAGUC
rnacentral:rRNA from 1 species